rnacentral:rRNA from 1 species
UACGGAGGGUGCAAGCGUUAUCCGGAUUUACUGGGUUUAAAGGGUGUGUAGGCGGACUUGUAAGUCAGUGGUGAAAUCCCGGGGCUCAACCCCGGAACUGCCUUUGAUACUAUAAGUCUUGAAUGUUGUGGAGGUGGGCGGAACGGGUCAUGUAGCGGUGAAAUGCAUAGAUAUGACCCGGAACACCGAUUGACGAAGGCAGCCCGCUAACGCAACUAUUGACGCUGAGGCACGGAAAGCAUGG